rnacentral:rRNA from 1 species
AUGGGCAUAAUGAGCAAGGAUGAUAGAACUCAACAGAAAAGUUCACACGAGUAUGGUGAAUGCAGCAAAGUGAAUGAGAACCUCAAGCACGUUAAGAGCAGCAUCAACCACACAACUGUCAAGAUCAAUGAAAACAUAGUUUCAUCAUUUGCACCUACUAAGCCUUCAGUCAUCGGAAUGAGGAACAUCAAGCUUCCAUUGCAACCUAUUGAUGAGAACAGUUUGUCGGUAGUUCAUAAGGGCUCACACGAUACUUUAGCAACCCCAGAUUGUGUGAUUACUAAAAUUGUUGAACACAACAAUGAAAAGGUGCCUGAAGUGGGAGUAGUGAAGAAGGUCAGGGCUAGAGUGUUCAACACAAUGCAUCAUGAGCAGGAGUUUUCUUUGAUUAACACAUUCCCAGCAGGGUUGAAGGAGCGCAACUCUUUCCUGCAGUUUAGUGUGCAAAACGGCCAGGGCACUUUCACACGCCCCACCAGUCUAACCGGCACAAAAAAUGAUGUUGGAGGUCAGAUUGCACCUCCUGAGGCAGGGCAAAGCAAUUACCAAAUGAUUAACCACAUGCCACCAAUAGGCCGUAUAAAGUUGUUCAAUGAGGAGGACUGCAAGAUUGGCACAAGCAACAACCAUCCUAAGCUCAUGGCAUUAGCAGACAAGAAUUUUUCAAAAACCAACCAAAUCAUUGGCACAAAACAAGCACCAAUCCCAGUGGCCGAUCUUUCUCCCUCUAUGCCAACUAAGAGGAAGGCAGACAUUGUUGAUAUCAGUCCAAGAAGUUUUGGUGUCAGGCAAAUCGAAUUUGCUAAGAAUGCAGAUCAUGUAUACAACAAUCUGAUCGGACCAAUUGCGAAACUUCAACGCCAAUCUACAGUAGGGGUAGAAGAGGUUGUUGAUGUGCCAGACGACAUUGAUAAUCAUAUCAUUAUCGAUGAACUUGCGCUAGACACCAUUAUCAGUCAAGGUCGACAUGAUGAUUUGAUCAUUUUGCGACCAAAAAGUCUCCUGGAACUCCCAAUCAAGGAAAACGAAAGGUUCCCUGUGUCAAACGAAGAGUGCAUGCGUUACAACUCAAUAAUCGAACUUGCAUAUACAAAAAGAAUUCAGAGGAAGUAUGCGUUGACGUACUCGAUGGUUCAUUGCAAUUAUGUAUCACUUGGACAAAGCCUUAUGCCAACCGGGCACGUCGACAACUUUUUGAUCCCUUGCUUUUGUCGGAAGUUCUUCGAGGACCGUCAUCCCUCAAUCUCUGGAAGGCACCAUUUCUUCCCGAAUAUUGGUGAGAACAUACUGAACUACCAAGACGAUAAACUAAGAUCAAUUGCCACUUCGUUUCUGGGGGCAGCAUCAGCAAGUAGGGGUAAACGUCUAGAUUUGUCAAAUACGCUGUUCUUCCCCACAUGUCUCGACAACCAUUGGAUAGUGUUUGCUGUUGAUUUCAAGUGGAAACUUUUUGCUUUCUUGGAUUCUUUUUAUGACAAGGACUCGUAUCUUCACAAGACUAUCAGAGAGAAAUUUAUCAAGAACUUCAUCAAGUUGUGGGAAAUCAUUUUCCAAACAGACCAGCAUAAUUUCAAGAUUUUCAAAAGGAUGUACCCUCAUGUGCCAAAGCAGACUAAUGGAAAUGAUUAUGGAGUGUUUGCAACAAAGAUAAUGGAGAUAUGUGCACCACCAUUGGAUCUGCGCAAGAUUUUCUCACAUGACGACAUCCAACACAUAAGAAUUCAGUACAUGAACCAACUUUUCUUUUGGAACAAAAACACUGCAGACAAGAGCCUUGUCACUGGUUUCAACUUACAGGGUGACUUCGUCAGCAAUCCUCCAUGA